GACGAACUGCCCAAACGUUGUUCGGAAUCACUGGGCUUAAAGGGCGCGUAGGCGGCGAAUCAAGUCAGGGGUGAAAUCCGGCAGCUUAACUGUCGAAGUGCCUUUGAUACUGGUUUGCUCGAGGGAGAUAGGGGUCUGUGGAACUUCUGGUGGAGCGGUGAAAUGCGUUGAUAUCAGAAGGAACGCCGGUGGCGAAAGCGACGGACUGGAUCUCUUCUGACGCUGAGGCGCGAAAGCUAGGGGAGCAAACGGG
rnacentral:rRNA from 2 species